CCCAAGGGCACUGCCACAGUGUCCCAGUGUGUGACAGACCACCUUUGGGAGGUGAAGUGACAGGUAAAGAAACGAAGCUGUAUGGACAUGAACUGACUUGCUUGCCACCCUUGAUAAACAGAUGAUAGAUCUAAGAGCCAGUGUCAGAUAUGUCGUAUUUCUCCUCUUGCACCAGAUCAUCUUGCCGCUGGUGGAGGAGGCUGUGUGUGAAGGCACAUAACCAGGGGAAGAAACGGAACCAUGGGGAGGUCAGCUAGUGCUCUGAAGUUGGCAAAGUUGAUAAAUGACAGAGCCUGCUUUCAAAUCCACAUAGUCAGCUUCUAUAAUCUAUGCACUGUGACCUACACACAUAUUUGUCACCAGGUGGUAAGGCUGUUGGAAGCAGGGUCCAUGUCUUAAUUUUGUGCCACAUGUGGGUUCAUAAUAAAAUAACAUUA